rnacentral:rRNA from 1 species
AAAUUGAAGAGUUUGAUCAUGGCUCAGAUUGAACGCUGGCGGCAGGCCUAACACAUGCAAGUCGAACGGUAACAGGAAGCAGCUUGCUGCUUUGCUGACGAGUGGCGGACGGGUGAGUAAUGUCUGGGAAACUGCCUGAUGGAGGGGGAUAACUACUGGAAACGGUAGCUAAUACCGCAUAACGUCGCAAGACCAAAGAGGGGGACCUUCGGGCCUCUUGCCAUCGGAUGUGCCCAGAUGGGAUUAGCUUGUUGGUGGGGUAACGGCUCACCAAGGCGACGAU